CUAUGUCAACAUAGCACAUUCUAUCACCAGAGCCUCUAAUAGCAGCAGCUACUAUUGUGCACACACGGGUGCCUGUGUAUGUGCCAGAUAUAGCACAGUCAGGGUAUGUGACAGAAUGGAAAGAAACUUAAGGGAAGAUUCUCGUGACAGACCUACAGAUAAGACAGAGGGAGCUACAGACUGACAUGAAAGACUUUAAAAAAAGCAUCCAAUGGAGUAAGAAAAAACCCUGUAAAGAAAUAGAACCUGUGAUAAGAUUCAGAAAUAAAAGCAAUCAUCUGAAUGUAAUAGCAAGUUACAAAGUUACUGUUCUUCAUACUGCUGCUCUAUUUAGACAGAAGACCACAACGAACAACAAAAUUGCACAAUUCUGGUGGUGAAAAAGGCAAACUAGGAGACUCUUCACCAAUGACCACCAAGACUCCAGCCCAGUACAAAUCAGGGGCCAUCCAGGAAUACAGAUAAAACACCCCUAGAGGAUUUUAAUGGGAGUUGUCUCCACACUGAGAACACACUAAACCAAAAGACUCAGUCUGAAAGAAGACAGGCUGUGGUCUAGAUUUCUCAACUUUCGUAUGUUUACAUCAACAGAAAGCAAACACUAGACCAAAGAAGAAUGAUUUGAGACGUCAAGGGAAUGGAGUUUCACUUUCCUGACCUCCAUUUAUUAGGCAAUAGUGAUGAACAAAGCAAAAUAGACAAUUUGGAAGCAAUGUCAAGGACUUCCUAAAAUAAUUAUGUCUGGCCUACCACUAUAGGUAUAUAAACUUGAGAAAAAGAUUUGAUACAAUACAGUCUCCUGUAGAUUCCCCCUUUUAUAUUGUAUCCAACUGUCUCCAAGCAGUUAUAAAAAGAAUAUCCCAACCACUUUGCUUCCAUGUUCUUAUCUGAAAAAUGUCAUCUGGCAUGAACUAAGAUAACAUGUAGGAAGCACUUAAAAUACCUGCCACAACAAACAUUGCUGUUCUCUAUCUUCACUUCCCAUCAGAGAGAAUCAAUCCACUGAGGAGAGGCUACCUAAUUAGAAACCAUCUAAUUUAUCAAAUCUUCUAAAGUGAUGCACAUUGAUGUUGAGCAGCCAUCACUAACAAAACAAUGAAAAUAAUUAUUAACAUGUAUUGUUUAUUACUAUAGAUCCACCAUUUAGGGAUUAAAUAGGUAUCAGUUUGGAUUUUGAUAAAAUAAUACACACAUAGCCAACACUCAAAUCUUAACGCGAAAGUAGGCUCUAAAACCCAUAGAAAGGAUGGGAGGGUACCAAAGAGAAAACAGCAAGAUUUAUACAUCAAAGCACUUGCUCUAUCAUUUUUUCUUUAAUGAGAACAUUGGAACUGAGAACUUCUGAAAUUCUGCGAAGAGUCUUCGGCUGCACCUAAAAAGAAAAACGAAAAAUAACGUGGGCACUAGGGGAAAAUAUAAAAAGCAUGCAGAAGUUUCGAAAAAAGGAAGAAAAAAUCUGAAUAAAGGGUCUCCUCAGAGGAUGAGUGAAGGGAAUGUAAAGGAGAAAAACGUGAAGUGAUUCAAGCACUAAAACGUGGAGAACAGUUUGUCAUGUGCUAUGGGGAUGGAAACAGGCAACCCCAGAGUAUCAGCUCAUCCCCCAGGCCCUGGAGAGGACUUUUUGUAAAAUCUCCACUACAGUGUUUCCACAUACCUGGAAUCGGGGAAAAAGGAUUUCUAAUGUUAGUACUUAUACAAAUUCUUUGACUUUUCACAUAAAAAUUUCAAAUUUAAUGACUAGAUCAUUCAUUUCUUCCACGUCUAAAAUAAGAUC